ensembl:snoRNA Gm23529 small nucleolar RNA SNORA17
CCUGCUCCUAGAAGCACUCCAAGUGUGGCUGCUGUGUCACAUAAGCAUCUGUAGGUGGCAGACAGGAGACAGGCUAAGGUUAUGCUCAGUGUUCUGACCUGUGAACAUCUAAGUGAUUAGUAUACUAACACU